rnacentral:miRNA from 1 species
AGUGGACUUGGAGUCAGAAGG